rnacentral:rRNA from 1 species
GUGCCAGCAGCCGCGGUAAUACCAGCUCUCCGGGUGGUGUGGAUGUUUAUUGGGCCUAAAGCAUCCGUAGCUGGCUAGGUUAGUCCCUUGUUAAAUCCACCGAAUUAAUCGUUGGACUGCGGGGGAUACUGCUUGGCUAGGGGACGAGAGAGGCAGACGGUAUUUCCGGGGUAGGGGUGAAAUCCUAUAAUCCCGGGAAGACCACCAGUGGCGAAGGCUGUCUGCUAGAACGCGCCCGACGGUGAGGGAUGAAAGCUGGGGGAGCGAACCGGAUUAGAUACCCGGGUAGUCCCAGCCGUAAACGAUGCAGGCUAGGUGUUUGGACGGCUACGUGCCGUUCUAGUGCCGCAGGGAAGCUGUUAAGCCUGCCGCCUGGGGAGUACGAUCGCAAGGUUGAAACUUAAAGGAAUUGACGGGGGAGCACCACAAGGGGUGAAGCUUGCGGUUUAAUUGGAGUCAACGCCGGAAAUCUUACCGGGAGCGACAGCAGUAUGAAGGCCAGAUUAAAGGUCUUGCCAGACGAGCUGAGAGGAGGUGCAUGGCCGUCGCCAGUUCGUGCCGUGAGGUGUCCUG